AUAGCUGUCCACAAUAAUCAAGUAAUUGAAUUAUAAAAAAUAAGUCAACUCUGGAAUGAGAAUUCUGUAUUAUCUUACUAGCUUGCUUGCUGCAGUGACUUCUUUGCUUCGUUAACUAUCGGUGAUGAACCACAAUUAAGGAUGGCAACCCAUAAGAGACGAUGUCUGCUGAGGGAUCAAAAAGACUUUUCUGGAAAAGGCUAUUUAUUAAACGGAAUACGCGUAGAGACAUCAAGAAUGUCAUUUUUAAGCCGUGUCAAGUGGCUCCGCCGGCGACUUGAUUGGUCCACGCGAUUGUCAAGUUGUUCCAGCAACGCAAGAGGACCUCCAAGAUCAAGAAAGAGGACCCAGGGAAGUACCCAAUAAUAAUAAGUGUGUUAUGAAAACGAGCUAAAUUAAACAAAUCAUUGUCGGGUUCUCAUUCAUUCAUUCGCGUUUGCUUCCAUUGUAUUUAAAUUUUGUGCAAUUUUUUUUAACAAUUUGUGACGUU